rnacentral:rRNA from 1 species
AUUGAACGCUGGCGGCAGGCCUAACACAUGCAAGUCGAGCGGAUGAAGGGAGCUUGCUCCUGGAUUCAGCGGCGGACGGGUGAGUAAUGCCUAGGAAUCUGCCUGGUAGUGGGGGAUAACGUCCGGAAACGGGCGCUAAUACCGCAUACGUCCUGAGGGUGAAAGUGGGGGAUCUUCGGACCUCACGCUAUCAGAUGAGCCUAGGUCGGAUUAGCUAGUUGGUGGGGUAAAGGCCUACCAAGGCGACGAUCCGUAACUGGUCUGAGAGGAUGAUCAGUCACACUGGAACUGAGACACGGUCCAGACUCCUACGGGAGGCAGCAGUGGGGAAUAUUGGACAAUGGGCGAAAGCCUGAUCCAGCCAUGCCGCGUGUGUGAAGAAGGUCUUCGGAUUGUAAAGCACUUUAAGUUGGGAGGAAGGGCAGUAAGUUAAUACCUUGCUGUUUUGACGUUACCAACAGAAUAAGCACCGGCUAAGUUCGUG